rnacentral:rRNA from 14 species
GUAGGCGCAGCGAAAGCGAGUCUGAAUAGGGCGUUGAGUAUUUGGUCGUAGACCCGAAACCAGGUGAUCUACCCUUGGUCAGGUUGAAGUUCAGGUAACACUGAAUGGAGGACCGAACCGACUUACGUUGAAAAGUGAGCGGAUGAACUGAGGGUAGCGGAGAAAUUCCAAUCGAACUUGGAGAUAGCUGGUUCUCUCCGAAAUAGCUUUAGGGCUAGCCUCAAGUGAUGAUUAUUGGAGGUAGAGCACUGUUUGGACGAGGGGCCCUUCUCGGGUUACCGAAUUCAGACAAACUCCGAAUGCCAAUUAAUUUAACUUGGGAGUCAGAACAUGGGUGAUAAGGUCCGUGUUCGAAAGGGAAACAGCCCAGACCACCAGCUAAGGCCCC